AACGAACGCUGGCGGCAUGCCUAACACAUGCAAGUCGAACGAGACCUUCGGGUCUAGUGGCGCACGGGUGCGUAACGCGUGGGAACCUGCCCUUAGGUUCGGAAUAACUCCCCGAAAGGGGUGCUAAUACCGGAUAAUGUCUUCGGACCAAAGAUUUAUCGCAUUGAAUGGGCCCGCGUUGGAUUAGCUAGUUGGUAGGGUAACAGCCUACCAAUGCGACGAUCCAUAGCUGGUCUGAUAGGAUGAUCAGCCACACUGGGACUGAGACACGGCCCAGACUGCUACGGGAGGCAGCAGUGGGGAAUAUUAGACAAUGGGGGAAGACCUAGUCCAGCAAUGCCGCGUGAGUGAUGAAUGCCUUAGGGUUGUAAAGCUCUUUUACCCGGGAUGAUAAUGACAGUACCGGGAGAAUAAGCUCCGGCUAACUCCGUG
rnacentral:rRNA from 1 species